GGACUACUGGGGUAUCUAAUCCUGUUUGCUACCCACGCUUUCGUGUCUCAGCGUCAGUGACCGUCCAGAUAGCCGUCUACACCGCAGGUGUUCCUCCUGAUAUCUACGCAUUUCACCGCUACACCAGGAAUUCCGCUAUCCUCUCCGGUACUCAAGCCUUCCAGUUUUCGGCGCACCCUCCCAGUUAAGCCGGGAGAUUUCACACCAAACUUAGAAAACCGCCUACACACUCUUUACGCCCAGUAAUUCCGAACAACGCUUGCUGCCUACGUAUUACCGCGGCUGCUGGCAC
rnacentral:rRNA from 1 species